UUCCAUACAAUUUUUGGUCCAUGUCUUCAAACGUUACCACCACCAUGCUUACGUCGUGUCUUCAAAAGUUGCCAUCCCAUAUUAAAUAUCCUAAUCCCACCAUCCCAACAAUAAAUACAACAAAAACCUUAAUCAAACAAACUAUGACAACAAUGUAUACAUAACACAUUACACCAAUCGUGCAAAACUAGUCAACAUAACCAUUAACAAUAACAUCCUAACCAACUUCCAUAGUAAGUUACCAAUAACCUGCAAAUAAAGUCUCUUAGAGCCAUACCAGUUCAAGCAAUGCAGUCAUAAUAGCAAUUCAUUCACAUGAUAAUCUCACUGCACUAACAAGACAACGACACCCCAUUUCAUGACUUAAAAUUCAAGAUUAACUUUCAUAACACCUUAACACAACAUCCGAUUCAAACACUAAUAAUUUAUUAACACAUCUUUUCCAAGUUAAUAACACUAACAACCAUAAAUUAAUUCAUUAUACAUGUUGAACAAAACUAACCACCUAAACUAACUAAUAUUUAUCAAAACAAAUGAAAAUAACAAGUUUCACUUCAAUUCAACAACAAACUCUAACUCUAACAACAACCUAAAUAAGUUUCACAUUGGACAUGCAUAUAGCAUAACAUUUCAAUGUUCAUUCACUAAUUCACCAACAUUCAUAAUUUCAAACAAUUCCAAAUAACCAACGGUAACAAUUCAUAUUAACAACAUUAACUAUAGCUAACUCCUAACAAAUUUUCAAUGACAACUAACACACCCUAACUGUUUUACUAAUUCUAACAAUUCAAACCCAAUAAUAGUAGCAAAAUAACUAAUUGUUUUCACUAACAUCCAAAUCCAAAAACAAUUCAAAAUUCCUGGCAUAUUAACAUUCAUAUAACAGUUGCAAUGCAGUUAGUUUUUCUUCUUCUUUAACAUCAUUCAAAAAGAAACAUUUUACUAACUUCAUGUUUCAACUCAACACAUCUAACACUUCAAUCAAUUCUAACUGCAUAAUUUCUAACAGAGUUGCAAACUCAUAACUCAUCUAACACUCUAACAGUUGUUAACUAACUUCACUUCAAUCCAUGCUAACUAACUUUAACAGAAUUUGUAAGAAAGUUAAACAUAUAACAAACUCCCUCUUCAAUGCAACUUAAACUUAACAUUACCCUAAUUCCAUCUCCCAAAUUAGUUAGUAUUCAUCCUCUAUAUAAUCCUCACCCUCUUCAAUCAUUGAUUGACAAUCACCAUUCCACAAAAAACCUUCAGAAUUCUCUCUCUCUCUCUCUCUCUCUCUCUCUCUCUCUCUCUCUCUCUCUCCUCUCUCCUCUCUCUCUCUCUCUCUCUCUCUCUCUCUCUCUCUCUCUCUCUCUCUCUCUCUCUCUCUCUCUUCUCUCUCUCUCUCUCUCUCUCUCUCUCUCUCUCUCUCUCUCUCUCUCUCCAACUUAACAUAACCUAUCCACUCUUAUUCACUCAUACACAUUCAACAACAAUCCAAUCAUAAGAGAAAAAAAACCUACAGGCUAAAAGAUUAAAGACGAAGACGAAGUUUACGCAAGAAAAGAGGUUACGGUUUCAAGCUUACCUGAAUCUCUGGUAUUCUUUAUUCGUCAUCAUCAUCUUCAAUCCAUAUAGCUUAAAGGCCAUUCUCCAUCUCAUAGGUGACUAUCUUUACAAUAUUCUUCAAAUCACGAUAAUUUUGUUACCAUCACGUAAACUCAAGCAUGAGGAAUCAAAGUCCUAAGGUGUUAGGCUUUGAUUUCUCCUUUGUGCCAUUUAAUUCCAAAAAUUCCAUUUUAAGGUUUAUGUAAGGUUUGCUUCGAUUUGGAAUUUGGAGAAACAAAUGUGAAAUUGUGAAGGAGGGUGAGAGGAUGAAUAUAUUGGUGUAGGUUUGAGGGUGGUUGGACCUUCGCCGCCGCCGGAGGCAAUUUCUGGUGCGGCGGAGUUCUGACUUAGGGGAAGUCAAGUGGCAAGGCGUUUUGAGUAAAGAUGAGAUGAUUCCUUCUGAUCCCUUCUCCCUCUUGGCUUCACAUUUUAGGCCUUACAAUAAGCUAAGGCUCAUGGAACUUGCUACCCACCACUGCAUGCAUCUCUGCACCCCCUUAUGAGCAACACCACCAACCUUAGGCCUCAUUGAUAUGGGCCCUGCACCUCUUUAAAUCCGCACCUCAUUUGCAGAUCUACACCCCCAUGCAUCCUUUACUUUUUUACUUUUUUUCUUUAAUAUUUUCCCUUUUUUAACAUCAUUUUAGUUUUU
rnacentral:lncRNA from 1 species